UUGGAGGGCAAGUCUGGUGCCAACAGCCGCGGUAAUUCCAGCUCCAAUAGCGUAUAUUAAAGUUGUUGCAGUUAAAAAGCUCGUAGUUGAAUUUCGGGAUCAGAGUGUCGGUCGUGCCUCGGUACGCACUGGUAUUAUUGGUUCCUACCUUCUGAAGAACCGCGAUGUCAUUAAUUUGGUGUCGUGGGGAAUCGGGACUGUUACUUUGAAAAAAUUAGAGUGUUUAAAGCAGGCUUACGCUUGAAUACAUUAGCAUGGAAUAAUGAAAUAGGACGUUUGAUUCUAUUUUGUUGGUUUCUAGGAUUGACGUAAUGAUUAAUAGGGAUAGUUGGGGGCAUUAGUAUUCAAUUGUCAGAGGUGAAAUUCUUGGAUUUAUUGAAGACUAACUACUGCGAAAGCAUUUGCCAAGGAUGUUUUCAUUAAUCAAGAACGAAAGUUAGGGGAUCGAAGACGAUCAGAUACCGUCGUAGUCUUAACCAUAAACUAUGCCGACUAGGGAUCGGAUGAUGUUAAUUUUUUAAUGACUCAUUCGGCGCCUUACGGGAAAC
rnacentral:rRNA from 1 species